rnacentral:rRNA from 1 species
CGUGUAGGCGGUUAGGCAAGUCAGGUGUGAAAUCCCUUGGCUCAACCAAGGAAGUGCGCUUGAAACUGCUUAACUAGAGUACAGGAGGGGAAAGUGGAAUUCCCAGUGUAGAGGUGAAAUUCAUAGAUAUUGGGAGGAACACCAGUAGCGAAGGCGGCUUUCUGGCCUGAUACUGACGCUGAGACGCGAAAGCGUGGGGAGCAAACA